CUUCAGAACCUCGAUGGAGAUUAGGUCUUCCGGGUACUUCUUACCUACUCUUUUAUGAAUACUGUGAAAUCAUUUCACCUACUAUUUUUCGACCUACUAUAUAGUAGGGAAGAAUGCGAUUUCGGAUGCAGCCUACACCAAACGCGACGCGAUGCUGCGACACGCCAUAAAAGGCGUUCCUCUGGAGAGCUUGGAUUUGCUGCUUGGUUUUUCCUUCCCACAAGCUUCUGCACAUGGGUCCUACCAAGUGGAUUUGAACAAUUCCCUUUUCUCAAUACCUGACCUUGAGUUUGUUCUUUACUGCCACUGUUUUUGAAGUGGAGGGAACUGUUCUCUCUCUUGAAGAUUUCUAUAACCCUGGAAGAAUGGAAAAUGAUCUAGUUCUUCCGAUUUUCGAUUAGUGCUUCUGUACAUGUCGCUGCAUGUGACAUGGCCUCUGUUUCACCUUGCAGAGGAUGUGAUUGACGGUGGAGCUGAGAAUUCCUUCUUAUAGGAAAAGUUUUUUUUUUUUUUUUGUCUAAUUCCAGCUCAUUUCCAAUGCAUACAGCUUCCUUUGUAGGCGAAAGCUUCCUGCUACCUUUAUUUCACAGAUGAUUUACAGAGAUAUGUCAUAUAUAAAUAGUUUUUUCUGUCUUUCUUGCUUUUCUGUCAUAUAUGUGGCUGCAUCUCGUAUUGAUUGAUGGAACAAAUUCUUAAUAUAAACGAUAAGCUUUUGUCAGAUUUGUUCCUCUGUGCCACACGAGAUAUCAGCACUGCAGAAACCUGUGUGAAGCUCAUUUCUAUUCUUCACACUUAGUCGGCUAGCUUUUUAUUUAUUUCCUUUUGAAUGCUUUCAUUUCAAAUUGUUAUUUUUUUUUUUAUUGCUUUUUUUCUUUCAAACCCUGGCCUAAGAGCUUUGAAUGAACAAACUAAGUGAGUAACAAAUACACAGACAACCUGGAUAUUGGUAUAAUGUCUCAAUGUUUGCAAAACCCUCAAUUCUUCAUACAUUUUCUGAUUGAGAAAGUGUUGGGAAAUCUUACUUUUAAAAUUAAUGUUACACUGAUCUAUAAUAGAGAAUAAACACUCUUAGAAGAAAA